AAGUCGUAACAAGGUUUCCGUAGGUGAACCUGCGGAAGGAUCAUUAACACAAUUUUACUGUGAUAAAAUCCGUUGAAUUCUCUCUCGAGAAUUCAAUGGUAUCCACCCCAUUAUUGACGAACUUUUCUUAGAUGUUUCAAAAAACAUAGAGGCUGCUUAGUCUUUACGUGUUUUGAAAACAUUCUAAAAACCUUUUUCUUUACCCUAUAACAUUUUUUAACCCCUUUUACAACAUGCCUUAGACUGAAAUGAAAAUUUCUUUAUUAUCAAAAAAUGAUAAAAAACAACUCUUAACAACGGAUAUCUUGGCUCUC
rnacentral:misc_RNA from 1 species